rnacentral:rRNA from 1 species
UACGUAGGUGGCGAGCGUUGUCCGGAUUUAUUGGGCGUAAAGCGAGCGCAGGUGGUUUAUUAAGUCUGGUGUAAAAAGCAGUGGCUCAACCAUUGUAUGCAUUGGAAACUGGUAGACUUGAGUGCAGGAGAGGAGAGUGGAAUUCCAUGUGUAGCGGUGAAAUGCGUAGAUAUAUGGAGGAACACCGGUGGCGAAAGCGGCUCUCUGGCCUGUAACUGACACUGAGGCUCGAAAGCGUGGGGAGCAAACAGG